GACGAACCGUGCGAACGUUAUUCGGAAUCACUGGGCUUAAAGCGCGUGUAGGCGGGACGGCACGUCGGUCGCUGAAAGCCCCCGGCUCAACCGGGGAACGGGCGCCGAUACGACCGCCCUGGAGGGACGUAGGGGGACCUGGAACUUCCGGUGGAGCGGUGAAAUGCGUUGAGAGUCGGGAAGGCACGCCCGAUGGCGAAAGCGAGGUCCUGGACGUCUGCUGACGCAUGAGACGGCGAAAGCGUGGGAGACCGAACGAGGC
rnacentral:rRNA from 1 species